GGAAGGAAGGAAGGAGGGAGGGAGGGAAGGAGGGAGGGAGCUCUGCUGCUGCAGCUGGAGGUGCUGCCGCAGCCGCGGGCACCGCCGCCCCCUCCCGCCGGGCCGGGCGGGGUGGGCUCCGCAGCCGAGAUGUCUCAGGAGCGGCCCAAGUUUUACCGCCAGGAGCUCAACAAGACGGUGUGGGAGGUGCCCGAGCGCUACCAAAACCUCUCCCCGGUCGGGUCCGGGGCCUACGGCUCCGUCUGUUCUGCCUUUGACACAAAAACUGGGUUGCGAGUGGCUGUAAAGAAGCUGUCCCGACCAUUUCAGUCUAUCAUCCAUGCCAAAAGGACCUACCGAGAGCUACGGCUACUGAAGCACAUGAAACAUGAAAAUGUGAUCGGCUUGCUGGAUGUGUUCACCCCUGCCAAGUCUCUGGAAGAAUUCAAUGAUGUGUACUUGGUGACACACCUCAUGGGAGCAGAUCUAAACAAUAUUGUGAAAUGCCAGAAACUCACAGAUGACCAUGUGCAGUUCCUCAUAUACCAGAUUCUUCGGGGGCUGAAGUACAUCCAUUCAGCUGACAUAAUACACAGAGAUUUAAAACCUAGUAACUUAGCUGUAAAUGAAGACUGUGAGCUAAAGAUCCUGGAUUUUGGUUUGGCUCGACAAACUGAUGAUGAAAUGACUGGCUACGUGGCUACAAGGUGGUACAGAGCUCCAGAGAUCAUGCUGAACUGGAUGCAUUACAACCAAACAGGUGAUCCAUUUUACUAAUAAAAGGCUUCUUGGUUCCUGAGUUCCUUGUGGGGAGGUCCAGGGAAGGUUCAUGUUCUGUUCCAUUUGAUUGUGUAAAUUGACAGUUACGCUAAUUACACUUCAGUGAUUAAAAGAAGUAAGACGCAAAUUAGUUUUAAAACCACAAUCUCAUAUCUAAGGUAUGAACUAUUAUGAUAGUGUUUACAACGCUUCCUUAAACUUCAACCUUUGAAACUGCACUUGGAGCAAUCUUGUCACUACUUACCCCUUUUCCUAGCACAACUACUUUUAAAGUAAGUGAAUAGAAUGUAUCUAGGUGAGAAAGACGGUGCCUUUCUAGAAAGCUGCUGGAAAUGCAUUUUAAAAAUGUCUGUGAUUAUGGAGUACAGAAAUGCUAAAGAUGCAUAGAAGUGUCCCUUUCUUCUUAGCCACUUCUUUUUCAUCACGUCCUCCUGGUUUGAUUGGCUUCCCAGCAGCGCACCGUUAUUCCCUGUGAAUAAAAGAAUGCUUUCAGAUCAAGCACAGUAAGGGAAAGAAAGGGCAGAUUUUUUCUAGUACAUGAAUGCUUACUAGUCAAUACAAAUAACAUGCUGUUCUAAUUUCAGACCUCACUGAUUCUGUGUUUUGUCUUUUCCUCCUGUGUGUACAUGGGCCUGUCUUGUCUGUAAUGUAGGAGUUGGUGGUUGUUCAGGUGGCAUUUAUGUAAGACCAGAUUCAUUCCUUAUAGCUAUCUUUAACAGAUUUCUUCCUUGAUUAUGUAGAUGCCUCCAUAGCUCUUUGGUGUCCAAUGCACAAUACAUUCUGGAAGGAAAAGUUGUCUAUCUUGUCAUCAUUGGGAAAAGUCUUACUCAAAGUGGUUAAUGAGCAGUGCCAGUUUCCUUGCAACCUCAGGUUCUUUCAACACCGUGAGAUUACUGAAGUGUAACAGCGGUUGUAAUUGUUGGAUAGAGUGAUUUUAUUGAGACUUCAUUUUUCUGCCUUACGAUUUUAUUUAUUUUAUUUUGUUCAGUUGAUAUUUGGUCAGUGGGAUGCAUUAUGGCUGAACUGUUGACUGGAAGAACGUUGUUCCCUGGUACAGACCAUAUUAACCAGCUUCAGCAGAUCAUGCGUCUGACGGGAACGCCCCCUGCAUAUCUCAUUAACAGGAUGCCCAGCCAUGAGGCGAGAAACUACAUUCAAUCUUUAUCUUACAUGCCGAAAAUGAACUUUGAAAAUGUGUUUAUCGGUGCCAAUCCAUUAGCUGUGGACUUGCUAGAGAAGAUGUUGGUGCUGGAUACAGACAAACGAAUCACUGCAGCAGAAGCAUUGGCUCACGCCUACUUUGCUCAGUAUCACGACCCAGAUGAUGAACCAGUGGCAGACCCCUACGACCAGUCUUUUGAAAGCAGAGAGCUUGAGAUUGAGGAAUGGAAAAGCCUGACUUACGAUGAAGUAAUCAGCUUUGUGCCACCGCCGCUUGACCAAGAGGAGAUGGAGUCCUGAGAAACUGCGCUCUUCUCUUUGUCCUGCUUCACUGUGAGGGGAAGGCCUUUCCUAGGGACUCUCCAACUAUCGUUCAAGUGCCUCGCCACAACAAUAUUCUCCUUGGUGGAAGGGAUUUGUGUGUGUUGAAUUGGGGAGGGUGGGGGGAGGGAGGAAAGCUGAGUCUAUGUAAACAUGCUGCAUGCUCUCUUGUGUUCUGUGUACAGCCUGGGACAAGCCUCUGAAGACCUGUUGUGACCGCUCUCAUCCUUCCACAGGAAGCGUUCAACCAGUUUGUGCUGCUGGGGUGAGGAAGGGAAGGUGACAUUCAAAGUUUGGACACAGUUGUUGCCAUUUAGCAGUUGUUCUUCAACUAACUAACCUCAAAAUAAGGGAAAGCUGGUUCAUAGGCUUAGAGAGCCCUCUGUUUUCUUUGGGAGCGAAGGUAGGGUUGGGAGAUGUCCUUGCUCCAUGAUGCUAGGUGGCUGAUUUUACAUCCAGAUCUUCCUGGUACAGGAGAAUGUACAGGCUUUCUGACAACUGUCUAUUGGAACGUGAGAAGAUUUUGUAUGAAACUGUAAAUAUGUUUGUGCCUUAAAUGAAUGGAGAAGGAGUGGGAAGGAAGUCUGGAGUGGAGGUGUCUGGCCCUGCUGUUUUUCAGGGUGAAGGCUCCCAGACAGCCAGGCGUGAACUCUGUGUAUUCAGGAAAUAACUUUCCGAGGCAACAGCCUCUCCUUGGAUUGGGUAUUCUGUAUUUUUUCCCUCUUCCCCUCCUCCAGUUGUGUGGUUUCUCAGCAUUAGCUCCCAGGAGACGGAGGCUGGAAAAAAUUCUUGCUAGCCACAUUCGUUUAUCUUGUUCCUUAAAAGGUGGGGUGUUCUUGCAUGUCAUAGCUGUAUGCGCAUGUAGAGCUGCUUGGUGUUCAUUGUUACAUUGUAGGGGUAGCACUGGGGCAGUUAAAUCAUCAGUGAACUGUUCACCCAGUACCUCAGCCAGUGCCACAAAGUCACAGCUUCCUUUCUCUUGUGCUGCAGCUCAGCGUGAAAUACCUGACAGUGUGGAGACUGACAAGAAAAGGGUAAAACAUGAAGCAUAGGAAUGCACCUUUCCCUUUGUUCUGGUCUUCUGGCUUCAGAUGAGAGAUUGGGAUGGAGGGCAUCUUGUGAGAUCAAGCGUAAAAAAUGUUCUUUGAAGAAACAACUGUGGCAUCUUGUGCCAGAAUUUAAGUUAUUUCCUGAAAUUGGUUUUUUUUUCCUAAAGAUGUUGGAAUCCAAAGCAAAGAAACAAGCAUGCAUAAAAACACGUUCUCCCUGUUGCUGUCUAUGUAGGUAUUUAUAUAAUAUAAAACCAACUAGAGGAUUCUUUUUUUUACCUUCACAGAUAAGAGCUUCUUGGCUGCUUGUUAGCAGGUUGAUCUCGGUGUGAGGAAAUGGGAGAGGGGAGUGUGUUAGGAUACAAACACGACAGAAGUAUUGAUGUUUUACAGGACUCCAUGUGAGUUUAAUGCCCAGUUAAGUACUGGCAGGAGGGGCUCUUUCUGUGUUGCUCUGUGCUAUUACUGUGCUAUGGAUCUCAGGAUCCUGAUUGUAGGCCUUGGGGAGGAGACAUUUCUAGACAUUUAUCAGUUGCAGGUGUCCUGUGCAUGCAACACAGCAGCUGUGUAUGUGAGGAGAAGGGCUUUGCAGUGUUUUGCAUUCUUGUUACUUACGGGAUGGAGAGGAACUGUUUGUAGUAUUUUUACCACGUGUCUGAAGAGGCAGCACAAAGGGAUGGGACACAAGAAAAACGAAGCCAUCAAUUCUUGCUAGGCUACUUUCCAGUGAUCUCUUCAGGUCAAACUGAAGGCUGGGGUGAGGUGAAGAGGGACUUCGUGCUCUGUGAUAACGCUCAGUUCAGACCAACAAAAUAGCGACAAAACCUCCCUGCUGGACAAGCAGUCCGAGUAUUCAAACGGAAAAAAAAAAAUAAAUGUAGAUAGACUCUGUAAACCUACAGCAGGAUGAUUUUUAUCAGCCAUUUUAUGUGUAGAUGCUACAAGUGUGAUUCCAUGCGGAAAUACUGCUCAAGAUUUUUAUUAAUAUAGACAUUGUGCAUCUGUGUGCGAGUGGGAAGCUUUCAUUCACAGCCCUGCUUGAGGGAGCUCCUGCCUGCAGUGCGGUGCUGUUCAGCUGCCUGCAGCCUGAACAGGAGGAUGCACUUCAAAGAACAGAUCUGCUAUUUUCUUUCUAUCCGUGAGUUUUGUUGAAGUUGGUUAUGCCGGAUAAGAUGUCACAAUACCACUGGUUAAAAAUAAAACCUAUUUUUCAGA